UACGUAGGGAGCAAGCGUUGUCCGGAAUCAUUGGGCGUAAAGCGCGCGUAGGUGGCUUCGUAAGUCCGUUGUGAAAGUCAAAGGCUCAACCUUUGAAAGCCGAUGGAUACUGCGGAGCUAGAGUACGGAAGAGGCGAGUGGAAUUCCUGGUGUAGCGGUGGAAUGCGCAGAUAUCAGGAAGAACACCCGUGGCUAAGGCGGCUCUCUAGUACGGUACUGACGCUGAGACGCGAAAGCGUGGGGAGCGAACAGG
rnacentral:rRNA from 1 species